UUUUAUUCAUUUAAAACAUGAAAUUGAAUGGUCAAAGAUGGUCCAAUCUGGUCAACUCAGGACUCUUAUGCAAUUUUGAAAAGAAAGAGAUGGCUAAACUACAAUUAGAGGAAAAUUUUGGACUUAUGUGUAAAUAAAAUAAAAAGGGUUGAAAUGUAAUUUUAGGCAAGUUUAAAUCCGUUAGAUAUUUUAGAAGAUAUUUUGAAGAAAAUAUAUCUUAAGAUAUUUUAC
rnacentral:lncRNA from 1 species